rnacentral:rRNA from 1 species
GAUGAACGCUGGCGGCGUGCCUAAUACAUGCCAGUCGAGCGAACUUUCUAUGAUCUUUCUCCUCUGACAUUUUCGGCGGACAGGUGAGUAACACGUGGAUAACCCCUCUAUAAGACUGUGGUAACUUCGGGAAACCGGAUCUAUUAUCGGAUAUUAUAUCAAUCCCCUUGUUUUAGUAGUUUAAAACGUUUUUUUUCUCACUUAUUGAUGUAUCCGCGCCGUAUUAGCUAGUUGGUAAGGUAACGGCGUACCAAGGCAACGAUGCGUAGCCGACCUGAGAGGGUGAUCGGCCACACUGGAACUGAGACACGGUCCAGACUCCUACGGGAGGCAGCAGUAGGGAAUCUUCCGCAAUGGGCGAAAGCCUGACGGAGCAACGCCGCGUGAGUGAUGAAGGUCUUCGGAUCGUAAAACUCUGUUAUUAGGGAAGAACAAAUGUGUAAGUAACUAUGCAAGUAUUGACGGUACCUAAUCAGAAAGCCACGGCUAACUACGUG